rnacentral:lncRNA from 1 species
AUGAAAUUAAAAAAAGGCGCCCCCCCUGCCCCGGGGGGUGGGGGCGACAGGGAGCCGGGAGCCAAGCGCUGCACUCUCCAAGCGAAGCCUCUGCAGGGAUCGGCCAACUUACCCCGGGCAAAACAACUACGCGGCGGCCGCCCCACCGUUCCCGGUCGCUCCGGCCACUUGUCCUCCCGCCCGCCCGCCGCUGCCCGCCGCGGGGACCGCGCACCGCCGCCGCUGCCCCGCUCCGCCGCUGCUCGCCCGCAGCCCCGGGGCGACGUGGGGCCGAGCCCGGCGCGGUGGCGGCCGAUGCCGGUGCGGCGCUGCCGAGGAGCGGUGGGGGAGCCGGCGCCUUCCCGGAAUGGCUCAGCCCUCGGGAGGGAGGGAGCGAGAGAGCGAGGGAGGAGGGGGGCGGCAGCGCCGCGGCUUGGUCCCACCUCCUGCCGGGCAGGGCGGCGCGGCCCUGCCCCAGCCGAGCCGAGCGGCGGAGAAGGAGAGCCGGCUGCUGGCGGCGGAGUGGAGAGAGCCGCGCCGAGCCGAGCCGAGCCGAGCCGCGCCGCCCCUUGGCCUGCCGGGCUGGGCGCUGGCCGGGCCCGGUGCGCCGCGCCCGCCGCCGGCUCGGGUUACGGGAGCCGCGGCCGCCGCAGCCAAUGCGGGGCCGCCUGGCGCCUUCGAACGGCAGGAAGAGGAAAGUGCUUCUCCCAGACCCUCCCAAGCGCUGAUCUGACUAGCAGGUCCCUGGCCAGUGGCCGGGGGAAGGAGGAGCAGAGCAGGGGGAUAUUGCAGAGCAAUCGUUCGCCACUGGCCAAAGUUGAAAAGAGAGAGAAACCUCUGGCGGCUGCGUUACAAACACAGAUCAGCUGAACCAUCCUGUGAAAAGAUUUCAUACCUCCAUUUGCCCAUCUGGCUGAGCAAUGAGGAAAACGCAGUCUCUUGGAAGAUUAUGCAGCACUCCUUAAUGCUGGCUUCUGGCAAUAUAACUGGGCCAUCCAGUUCAUUCUCUCUCCUUAUGAAAAUGGUAUGUUUUAGUGGAGGAUUUCAUCUUGUGUCCACAAAGCCUUUUUAUUUUGUGCCCUGAAACUGCUAGUAAAAUUCUACAAUGCACCGACUUGUUUUAAGGAUUUCAGGAUAUUCAGAAAAUUAUUAUGAUUGUAACCAGCAAACUCUUUGCCUUGCCAGAAAAACAAGUCCUCCAAAAGGCAUAAGUAGUAGCCUCUAAACAUUGCUACAAAGAGCAGCAUCCAAACUGGAGGCCAGUGGAGAUGAAGAGCUGUUCCUUGAAGGAAGGCAUGGGAGGUGUGUGUUCUCAAGAUGUGCCUCAAAUGCUGUUUUCCAGUCCUGUUUUGAAGUGUCCUGCAUUCACCCAAGAGGUGCACAUUCACGUGUUGGGUGUAGAUCUGCUCGGUGCAGGCAUCCUUACAGGGCUGAUGGAGCAAUACCAAGUCAGAUCUCUUGUCGCAGUGGCAGCUACAGAGUAGGCAUACACAGUAUGUUUGAGCCAAAAAGAAAAAGCCCAUAAAAAUCCCCUCACCCACAGUGUUAACUACCACUUCAUUUUCAUGGAAGUUUAUAACCAUUUUGUGCAACUCCAGAUGUGGAGGUUUUUUCCCUCAUCCCUAAUCUGUAUGUUGGUAAAGGACUGGAAGCUAAACCCUAAGAAGGAGUAGGCAAUGCUGCUCCUACCUGGGAGCUGCAGAUGAUUGGCAUGUCUCAAACACAUACAUAAUAACUGGAGCAAAAAUUUCACUGCUAAUUUAGUGUGUAGUGGGGAUCCAACUUCAUUGUGCACUCAGAAGGCUAUACACAAUAUCAGAGCAAUUUUUUUUUAAGUAUUAAGAAAAAUGUCCGAACUCCACUUACAAGAUUUGAAUCAUCAGGAUUGCCACAUGCCUGUGAGCUGAGGCCAUGUCCUGGGGAGCUGUCACAUGCUCCACCAUCAUCCACCCAAAGAGGAGAGAUACUGAGACUUUGGAAUCAAGUGUGUGCCAAGAAAAAAUUUUACAAAA